rnacentral:rRNA from 2 species
AAACGACUCUCGGCAACGGAUAUCUCGGCUCUCGCAUCGAUGAAGAACGUAGCGAAAUGCGAUACUUGGUGUGAAUUGCAGAAUCCCGUGAACCAUCGAGUCUUUGAACGCAAGUUGCGCCUGAAGCCACACGGCCGAGGGCACGUCUGCCUGGGCGUCACGC